AUGUUUUUAUCAAAGUUUUUCAACGUGGACAUUUUUGUACUUAAUGGCCUUAAAGUGUAUCUAUUAAAGUGAUACCUGAAAGUAAAAGAACUGAAUACUUCUACCACCACAGCUCACUAUACAGCUGUUGCAAAUCUGACAACAACUGUCAUACCUGAACUUGAACCUGAUCUUUCUUCCACAUGGACAUCUGAGAACAUUUCAAACUCAACCCAGCCAACAUCUGGAAUGGACACCAGUAGGUAUGUGAACCUUUCAACAGAAACUAAUAUUCGAUCCAACCUUACAGCCUCAAACGGCACUAAUGGAGGACAACAGAACAACAGCACAGGCCCUGUGCUGUACGCUACGGUCGGGGCUGCAGCUGUUG